GAUGAACGCGGCGGCGUGCCUAAUACAUGCAAGUAGAACGCUGAAGCUUGGUGCUUGCACCGAGCGGGUGAGUUGCGAACGGGUGAGUAACGCGUAGGUAACCUGCCUCUUAGCGGGGGAUAACUAUUGAAACGAUAGCUAAUACCGCAUAAAAGUCGACAUUGCAUGAUGUUGACUUGAAAGGUGCAAUUGCAUCACUAAGAGAUGGACCUGCGUUGUAUUAGCUAGUUGGUGAGGUAACGGCUCACCAAGGCGACGAUACAUAGCCGACCUGAGAGGGUGAUCGGCCACACUGGGACUGAGACACGGCCCAGACUCCUACGGGAGGCAGCAGUAGGGAAUCUUCGGCAAUGGGGGCAACCCUGACCGAGCAACGCCGCGUGAGUGAAGAAGGUUUUCGGAUCGUAAAGCUCUGUUGUAAGAGAAGAACGAGUGUGAGAGUGGAAAGUUCACACUGUGACGGUAACUUACCAGAAAGGGACGGCUAACUACGUGCCAGCAGCCGCGGUAAUACGUAGGUCCCGAGCGUUAUCCGGAUUUAUUGGGCGUAAAGCGAGCGCAGGCGGUUAGAUAAGUCUGAAGUUAAAGGCUGUGGCUUAACCAUAGUACGCUUUGGAAACUGUUUAACUUGAGUGCAGAAGGGGAGAGUGGAAUUCCAUGUGUAGCGGUGAAAUGCGUAGAUAUAUGGAGGAACACCGGUGGCGAAAGCGGCUCUCUGGUCUGUAACUGACGCUGAGGCUCGAAAGCGUGGGGAGCAAACAGG
rnacentral:rRNA from 1 species